ensembl:snoRNA
AUCUGGCACCCAGUAGCGAUGAUAAGAGAGUAUAGUAACCCCAACACAUUGCCAGGAUACUGCGCUGUGCUGCUGGCACUGAAGCAGCUUGCACAGUG